rnacentral:lncRNA from 1 species
CCGUGAACCUGCCCCGGGGGUUAACGCCGCUCAGAGCAGGAAGUCUGGAGCGGCAGCGAACACUUUCUCCCGGGCUUCUCAUUUCCGCGCCCACCCGGCCUCCGCCCAACCACCACACCCAGCAACCCCGCCCGGCCGGUCCGAGCCGAACCCGGGCCCGCGGCGGAGUCUAGGGAGGGCUUUGAGUCGAAGCAGCCCGAGGAGCUGUAGGAUGCAGGGGCUGCCAAAGACAUCAUCAGCAGACCAUAAAAUGACCUUGAGGAAGGAAGCUGUACACUGAGAACAGGAAACCUAAGGAUAGAAAAAGGCACACAGGUCUCAGAGAACACCACGCAGCCUCCACCCCCAGUUCUGCGCUCCCUCCCUCCCUCCCUCUCAAUUCGGUG